AGACGACGCUGGCGGCGUGCCUAACACAUGCAAGUCGAGCGGAGAUGUACUGAAGAUUUAUCGGAUGUACAUCUUAGCGGCGGACGGUGAGUAACGCGUGGCAACCUGCCUUUCACUGGGGGAUAACACAGGGAAACCUGUGCUAAUACCGCAUGACAUCACGUAGGGCAUCCUAUGUGAUCAAAGGAGAGAUCCGGUGGAAGAUGGGCCCGCGUCCAAUUAGCUGGUUGGUGAGGUAAAGGCUCACCAAGGCGACGAUUGGUAGCCGAACUGAGAGGUUGAUCGGCCACAUUGGGACUGAGACACGGCCCAGACUCCUACGGGAGGCAGCAGUGGGGAAUAUUGCGCAAUGGGGGGAACCCUGACGCAGCAACGCCGCGUGAAGGAAGAAGGUCUUCGGAUUGUAAACUUCUUUGAUGAGGGACGAAUAAAGUGACGGUACCUCAAAAACAAGCCACGGCUAACUACGUG
rnacentral:rRNA from 1 species